UUUUUUAAUUGUUUCAUACUUGGAUGUUAUUGAAGAGUCUGGUUACGAUGAUGCAUAUGUGAAGGAAGUUGAAAGAGCAGUUCUGGUGAAAACCCUUGAUUGUUUCUGGAGGGACCAUCUUGUAAACAUGAACAGACUCAGUUCAGCGGUAAACGUAAGGAGUUUUGGGCACAGGAAUCCUCUUGAAGAAUACAAAAUUGAUGGUUGUCGAUUUUUCAUAUCUAUGCUUAGUGCAACACGAAGGUUGACAGUAGAAUCACUUUUGCAGUAUUGGUCAUCCCCAAUGGAGUCCCAAGAAAUAUUUCUAUCAUAAAUAUGGAAUUCUUGACACAUUAAAAUUUUUGGAUGGUCGUUCCAAAAAACCGUGAUUCGCAUCUUUUUGAAAAUAUCAAUUCAAGGUUUUGGCUUUAUUCCCAUCAUUCCAAGGUUGAGAAGUCACUUGGUCAUCUGUUGUCAAAAUUGGGCAAUCUCUCUAUCGGGAGGCAUCUGGAAAAGAUCCGUUUAGACCUGAUCAGAAGACACCUGUAAAAAGUUUCUUCCUUGCCAGAUCGUACACAAAAGAAGACUAUGUUGACAGCAUGGAAGGGUGGCUGCCAG